UGGGGAAUCUUGCGCAAUGGGCGAAAGCCUGACGCAGCGACGCCGCGUGAGUGAUGAAGGCCUUCGGGUUGUAAAGCUCUGUGGGGAGAGACGAAUAAGUGCCGGCUAAUACCUUGCAUGAUGACGGUAUCUCCUUAGCAAGCACCGGCUAACUCUGUGCCAGCAGCCGCGGUAAGACAGAGGGUGCAAACGUUGUUCGGAAUUACUGGGCGUAAAGCGAGUGUAGGCGGUUCUGUAAGUCGGAUGUGAAAGCCCCGGGCUCAACCCGGGAAGUGCACUCGAUACUGCAGAGCUAGAGUACUGGAGAGGUGGGUGGAAUUCUCGGUGUAGAGGUGAAAUUCGUAGAUAUCGAGAGGAACACCGGCGGCGAAGGCGGCCCACUGGACAGAUACUGACGCUGAGACUCGAAAGCGUGGGGAGCAAACA
rnacentral:rRNA from 1 species